rnacentral:rRNA from 1 species
CUAGUUGCAUUAAUUCGAUUAGUUCGAAGUUAAUGCAUCAUCGACUAUGUCGAAUAAAGUUCUAGGUAAAGUUAUGAUAAUGACAUUUUCUAUCUAUGUGUCUUGACCAAAUCACGUGCCAGCAGUCGCGGAAAUACGUGGAACACUAUUGUUAUUCAUCUUUGGUAGGUUUAAAGGGUACUUAGACGGUAAAUUAAGCCCAAAUGAAAACAAAGGGUACUAAUUAUACUAAAGUUUUAUAAGAGGAGGGUGUGUACUAGUGGUGAAGAGAUGAAAUUCGGUCAUACCAUUAUGACAGGCAACGGCGAAAGCAACCUUUAUUUAAAAACUGACGUUAAAGGACGAAGGCUUUGUGUCACCAACAGGAUUAGAUACCCAAGCAGUCUUAGCAGACAAUUAUGAAUGCCAUAGAUAAGAAAUCCAUAGAUUAUAAAGAGAACAUUUCGUUUUCUUUUUCUUUUUCUUUUUUGAUUACCCAAAAAUGUAAAAAGAAUGUAUAAUAUAUAUUAUAUUAUAAGAAAAGGAUGUAUUUUUUGUCUAUAAAUGAAAGUGUAAGCAUUCCACCUCAAGAGUAAUGUGGCAACGCACAAACUGAAAUCAUUAAACCGUUUCUGAAACCAGUAGUGAAGUAUGUUGUUUAAUUAGAUGGUCCGCAAAAAACCUUACCACAAUUUGUAUAUUAUUAGCUCAAUACAAGAGUUGCACGGCUGUCU